rnacentral:rRNA from 1 species
UACGAAGGGGGCUAGCGUUGCUCGGAAUCACUGGGCGUAAAGCGCACGUAGGCGGAUCUUUAAGUCAGGGGUGAAAUCCUGGAGCUCAACUCCAGAACUGCGUUUGAUACUGGGGAUCUCGAGUCCGGAAGAGGUGAGUGGAACUCCGAGUGUAGAGGUGAAAUUCGUAGAUAUUCGGAAGAACACCAGUGGCGAAGGCGGCUCACUGGUCCGGUACUGACGCUGAGGUGCGAAAGCGUGGGGAGCAAACAGG